AUUGAACGCUGGCGGCAGGCCUAACACAUGCAAGUCGAACGAGUGGCGGACGGGUGAGUAAUGUCUGAGCAACUGCCUGAUGUAGGGGGAUAACUACUGGAAACGGUAGCUAAUACCGCAUACCAUCAGAUGUGCCCAGAUUGGAUUAGCUAGUUGGUGGGGUAACGGCUCACCAAGGCGACGAUCCCUACCUGGUCUGAGAGGAUGACCAGCCACACUGGAACUGAGACACGGUCCAGACUCCUACGGGAGGCAGCAGUGGGGAAUAUUGGACAAUGGGCGCAAGCCUGAUGCAGCAAUGCCGCGUGAAUGAAGAAGGCCUUCGGGUUGUAAAGUACUUUCAGUGGGGAGGCGUUACCUGAAGAAGAAGCACCGGCUAACUCCGUGCCAGCAGCCGCGGUAAUUC
rnacentral:rRNA from 1 species